UACGAAGGGGGCGAGCGUUGUUCGGAAUUACUGGGCGUAAAGGGCGCGCAGGCGGCCUCGGGAGUCAGAUGUGAAAGCCCCGGGCUCAACCUGGGAAUGGCAUUUGAUACUCUGAGGCUGGAGUACGGGAGAGGAGAGUGGAAUUCCCAGUGUAGAGGUGAAAUUCGUAGAUAUUGGGAAGAACACCGGUGGCGAAGGCGGCUCUCUGGACCGUAACUGACGCUGAGGCGCGAAAGCGUGGGGAGCAAACAGG
rnacentral:rRNA from 1 species